ACGAACGCUGGCGGCGUGCUUAACCCAUGCAAGUCGAACGCUGAAGCUCAGCUUUUGUUGGGUGGAUGAGUGGCGAACGGGUGAGUAACACGUGAGUAACCUGCCCCCUUCUUUGGGAUAACGCCCGGAAACGGGUGCUAAUACUGGAUAUUCACUGGUCUUCGCAUGGGGGUUGGUGGAAAGGGUUUUUCUGGUGGGGGAUGGGCUCGCGGCCUAUCAGCUUGUUGGUGGGGUGAUGGCCUACCAAGGCUUUGACGGGUAGCCGGCCUGAGAGGGUGACCGGUCACAUUGGGACUGAGAUACGGCCCAGACUCCUACGGGAGGCAGCAGUGGGGAAUAUUGCACAAUGGGCGCAAGCCUGAUGCAGCGACGCCGCGUGAGGGAUGGAGGCCUUCGGGUUGUGAACCUCUUUCGCUCAUGGUCAAGCCGCAACAAUGGUUGUGGUGAGGGUAGUGGGUAAAGAAGCGCCGGCUAACUACGUG
rnacentral:rRNA from 1 species